ensembl:lncRNA
AGACUUUUUUUUUUUUGCAUGAAAUCCAUCUCUAAGAAAAUACGCACUUGGAAGCUGUUGCCAACAAUAAGCUUGCCCAGUUGGAAGGAGCCCGUUGGCAGAGUUGGCACCGAUCGGCUUUAAUCCUUUCUCAGGCACUGAGGCAAUGCAUGCAAGAGUGUACCUGUCGGGAGUUGCCAGAUUUAAGGCAGACGAUGAGCAGACCCCUUCUCAAAGCCCACCGCCAUGCUCAGCAGCUGACGGUUCAUAUCAAAAGACACCUUUGGUUCUCCAAGCCAUCUGCAAAGUGCACACUGCGGACUCUUCCUGAGAUUAGAAUCAAGCUCUGGAGUUUGGCUAAGUUUCUAGAGGCAACCCUAAGAUCUCCUCCAAAGAUGGCUCCACCUGGAUUGUGGUAAUGCUAACCAAUGGUUGAAACUGCCCCACACUUCAUCCACUUCAUCUCCAGGACCCUGCUGAGACUACGGACUGCCUAGACACUGGAGAAUUGACUGUCCCUCAUUGCCUCAUCAAGGUAGGCCAGCCUCUCAACUUUCUAAUGCACUAACUGGAAAGUCCCUUUUGUGCCUGGCAGCUGAAGGCUGAGGCUGCCCUUUGUGGCAGUCAGAGUUAAUGGUUUCUUGUGUGACACCUGGGAGCUAAAACCAUUCCUCAUCCAUGGAGAUUGCAGAGAUUGCCGAGGAGGAGCCUAUAGUAAUCGUCUGGGUGGUGGGGAGUUGAGACUUGGAUUCACCUGUCACAGGUCAAAUGGACUCCAGAUAAGAUUUCCUGUCAAUUAACAGCCUACCCUUCCUCACCUACUACUUACUCCUGACGGGGGACGUUCUAAAUGUAAGAUUUUCCUUUAAGUUCCUAAAGUUUAACUUCUGUUCCCUUGGCUGACGCACCCUACCCAGGAUCAGCUGCAGACUACGAACUGCUCCAAACGGCUGUGAGCUUGCUGAAAGCUGAUAUAAACCAAUACAGCUGUGUGAUUGCUCCCUGCUUUUCAGCUCCUGUCUAAAGCUCCACCCCUUGGCCUUUAACUGGCAUUACAGCCGUCCGGGGCCCUGACAACACACUAAUUUCAGCUAAGAAGCAGUUACAGAGGAACAUACAUCUUCCCUUAUCCUCAACAAAAGGCUGAAAUGUUAGGUCUAAAGGAAGCUGGGACCUCACUGGAAAGCCCAUACUCCAUCAUGCUUACCACCUUGCUGCUAUCAAGGAAGACCAUAGCCACACCGGGAUACAUCAUCAGGGGAUGAUGACCCUGAUGCAAAAAAAUGGACAGUCACCAAGGCCUGAGAAGAUCCACUAAAGAUAAGACUGCCAUGUAGCUGUCACAUCAUGUAUUAAUUGUAGACUAAUGUUUUGUCUAUGUUCCCUCCCUCUUUAUGGAGUAUAUGUCUAGACCCCCCUUUUAGGAACAAAUAUAAACUUGCCAUAAAUGUCUCAUAGCUCCUGGGCUGUCACCUCUGGGUUGAAACUAUUUGGUUUGCAUGUGAUGAUGGAUUACAUCCCUACUUAGCUCUUUGGCAUGUGUAUCAAGGCCUCGAACUUUGUCUCUUAGUAUUCCUAUGUUUGUAUAUGAUGGUGUAGCACGGAGAGAGCACUUGUCUUUGCAAAUCUUUCCAGCCUCCUGGGACAGAGAAACAUGCAGUUCCUCUCCUUCUACCCCUCAUAGUAAACUUAGGAUUGACAACUGCUGUUCUAACAGCUGAAGUCAUUCUGCUGGCAACAGGUACAACAAUGGCUUGAUGUCAUUACAAAAAUUUAGGAUGUUAGACAACCCAGUAUUUAUUUGCAUUAGAAAAGUCUACUGGGCUCUUUUCCUCUGGCGGGCCAUCGAUGAUCCUAGUUGUCAUCAUGGGCCACCGCCACGCCCGGUGUUAUCACUAUUGUAAGAACAAGCCAUACCCAAAGUCUCAUUUCUGUAGUGGUGUCCCUGAUGCUAAGAUCCGCAUCCUUGACUUGGGAUGGAAGAAAGCAAAAGUGGAUGAAUUCCCACUUUGUGGCCACAUGAUGUCAGAUGAAUAUGUGCAACUCUCUUCUGAAGCGCUGGAGGCUGCCCGUAUUUGUGCCAACAAAUACAUGGUAAGAGUUGUUGUAAGGAUGGCUUUCAUAUCCGGGUGAGGCUCCACCCUUUCCAUGUCAUCAAUAUCAACAAGAUGUUGUCCUGUGCUGGGGCUGACAGGCUCCAGACAGGUAUGCGCGGUGCCUUUGGGAAGCCCCAGGGCACAGUAGCCAGGGUUCACAUUGGCCAAGUCAUCAUGUCUAUCCGAACCAAGCUGUAGAAUAAGGAAUGUGUGAUUGAGGCUCUGCGCAGAGCCAAGUUCAAGUUCCCUGGCUGCCAGAAGAUCCACAUCUCAAAGAAAUGGGGCUUCACCAAGUUCAAUGCAGAUGAAUUUGAAUACAUGGUUGCUGAUAAGUGGCUCAUUCCUGAUGGCUGUGGUGUCAAAUAUAUCCCCAAUCAUGGUCCUCUGAACAAGUGGAGAGCCCUGCAUUCCUUAAGGCUUCCACAGUGCUCUCCUAUACCCUAUCAAAUCACGUUCAAUAAAUCUCACAUCAAAUCUGAAGAAAAAAAAAAAGAAAGAAAAAGAAAAGUCUACUGGGGGCUGGAGAGAUGGCUCAGUGGUUAAGAGCACUGACUGCUCUUUCAGAGGUCCUGAGUUCAAAUCCCAGCAGCCACAUGGUGGCUUACAACCAUCUGUAAUGGGAUCCGAUGCCCUUCUUCUGGUGUGUCUGAAGAGAAUGACAGUGUACUCAUACAUAAAAUAAAUAAAUCUUUUUUAAAAAGUCUACUGUAAAAUUAGAAGAAGCGGUUGAUUCAUUAGCUGAGGUAGUCUAACAUCAUGUUAGGGCACUUGAUCUGCUUUAUGCAGACAAAGAGGUUACUGUAUGACCUUGGGGAAACUUGCUGUUUCUAUGCAAACUACUAAGCAAACUAUUCAGUAUAGUUUGGCUUUGAAAAAAAGUCUCACAGAGAGGGAAAAGGCCCUACAAGGAAGAAGUAAAAAACUCCCAUUAUCUUUCUCAAGUUCUCCCUGACUAGUAACUCUACUGUCUAUUGUCAUAAGGCCCUUAGCUCUCCUGCUUCUGCUGAUUGAGGUUGGCCCUGCAUCAUCAAUACUCUGUAACCAGGUGUAUAAAUUGCCACUUAGGAACCAUGAUGAUAAUUAAGUCUCAGUAUGAACAGGUACCCACCACGGAGUGAAGGAUUUGGCUCAGGGUCAAGGGGGCAGGGAAUGUGACAGUAAUAUUAUGUUGAUGGCUAACUUUAUGUUUAAAAGUUUAAAUUUUCUCUGCUUAAGAGAACUAUAAAGCAAAAUUAGACCUUCAAAUGUUAAGGGCCGUUAGGGUUAAAAUUUUUUUACUCCUGUUUCUGCUUCUGUAAACAAGCUUGUUUUGCUGGAGAGGAGCUUCUGCUUGCUUGAGAACUUAUCAAAAUGGCUGGCAGGGCACUGCAUUCAGGAAUCCUGAGUGAGUCCCAGCUAUAGAUCUAGUGCUAGUAUCUGAGUAAAAGCCUCUUCUUUGUUAAAAUGGUUAAAACGUAUUAAUGGUCAGAUUGGUGAAUCUCUAAUGGACCCCAGGCCCAUCGUAGGGUAAUGGUUUUUAAAAUACAUUUCAAAAGAAGAUACUUGUAGAUUUCAAACAUACUUAAAACAACAAAGAGAAAGAUAAAAAUACUCAGAAUUUCCAACUAUUAACACAUUCUAAGCCCAUAUGAACUAUUUUAGAAAUUGAUUUUUUGUGGGGUGGCAGUUAGGGAAGUGUAUUUGGGAAUGAAUGUUGUAAAAAAAAGUCACUACCGCCACCACCAACAAAACCUAGUGGCAGAUUCUACAGUACAGUUGUUCUUAGCCUGUGGAUAACUACCCCACACAUCUCAGAUAUUUUGCGUAUCAGAUAUUUACGUUACAAUUUAUAGCAACAAAAUUAGUUAUGAAGUAGAAGCAAAAAUAAUUUUAUAGUUGGAGGCCAUCACAACAUGAACUACAUUAAAGGGUCACAGCAUUAGGAAGGUUGAGAACCACUGCUCUAAAUACCAGCUCUUGAGAAGUGGAGGCAGGAGGAUUGUAGUUAACGCCACCUGGGUUUCAUGAGACCCUAUCUCAAAAUUUCCAAAUAAGUACAUGGAAAGGAACCCUGUGGUCUUAGAAUCCACCUCCGUGAUUCUAUUUGAACUGUGCCUGCUUGCUGGACUCUGGGUGGGUGAAGUGAUACUGAGUGGCCGCUUGGACCAGGAGCCCAGGGCACGUGGGAGAAAUGGAGGGCCUUCGAGUAAGCGAGCACGAGCUUGCAGCGUGGACUCAUCCAUCUCCCUGGGGCAGAGGUGUCAGGCACCAGCCACUGAGCAUGACCUGGGCCAGAGAGCAGUUGGCCUCUUGUACAGUCCGGAUCCCAGCUCAGAGCCCCAACCCCGGACUGGCGCCACAGUCAGCCGGUGGGGCGAGAUAAAGCGGGCAAGAUUCUGCGGGUCCAAAUCAGGAAGGCGCAGCUCCGAUAGCAGCGCAGGGGCCCGGGCUCCCGGUGUGUUUGCUCCAACUGUUUAAACUGCUUCAAAGAGCCAGGGCCAGAGCGACCUUCGGCAAACAGCUGCUAAUCUCUAGCAAGGGGGUGCUGUUCCCGAGAGGACUAGGGAGCCAAGGCCUCCUGCUCGCGCCCCGCCCCCGCGGGACUUCAGCCCACCUGACUCCACCAUGCCCCGAACCACGAGAGGAGGGCCAACAGUGCGGUCCAGGAGAACGCGGGAACUCCGGCCGGAAGCCCUCAGGUUCCUGCCCCGCCCCUAGCCUCUUGCUCC